GAGCAGAAUCUCACAUCAUAACCCCAAAUGACCUGUUACUCACCAUGUGGCCCAGCUGUCUUCAAACUCACCAGCCUCCUGCCUUAGCCUUCUAAAUGCUUGGAUUACAGGCAUGACCCACCAUAACUGGCUUUGUUUUAGUUUCAGAGAAGAUGAAACUGAUGUGCGUCAAAAAGGUAAAUGUCACAUGACCCAUCUUAUGUUGAAUAAAACUAUUCUAUGAUUCAAUCUGUAUAAGCUUCAAAGAUAAAUUAACUAGCAGCACAUUUUUAUUAUUGUUUGUAUAGUAUGUUUGAUCAAAUUCCUUCCCCUCCCCAAACUCCCUCUAGAUCCUCCCCAUCUCUCUAUCCACCCAACUCUUUGUUCUUUAUCUCUCCCAAAAUAAAGAACAAAACAAGAAAAAACAACAACAAAAAAUGAAAGCAUGUGCGUGCAAGCACACCCCCCCAUACACACACAAACACACACACAAACAUACACACACACAUACACACACACACCACAUAAAGUCUAUUUUGUGUUGGCCAACCAUUUCUAUGCAUGAAGCCUGAUGCAUGAAGCCACAAAAAUUGGCUGAUAUACUCUCUCUCCCUGCACUGCUAUGAAAUAGCUCCUCUUUCCUGUAAUCUUCUCAUGAGAGUUGGGCAUCUCCUGUCUCUGACUCAGUCUGUCAAAUCUUUCUCUGACUCAUUACUUUGUCUGCUUAUGGAGGCUGGGAAGACCUAGAAUGUGGCAUCACUAUUUGGUAAGAACCUUCCUAUGUCAUUGUAGAGUGAGGGACUUGGGUACCACAUGGCAAGGCAUAGUACCCAAAUCCCUUUCCUUCAUAAAAGUAUUAAUGUCAUCAAAGAGGCCCCACCACCAUGAUGCCAUCUGGGGCCUCAUGACCCCAAUGCCUGAUGCCAAAGACUCCCACCUCAAAAUACUUUUUUCUUCAGCAUAACAUUUUAUUAAUUAUCUGGGAAUUUCACAUCAUGUACUCCAAUCACACUCAGUUCCCAGUCCUUCCAUGUCAGCCCCCACCCUUGUUACUUGCCCCCCAAAAGAGGAAAAUUAAAACUAAGAAUUAAAAAAAAUUAAAAAAAUUAAAAUACACAAGUCCAAUUUAUGUUACCUAUAUACUCACUGAAGCAUGGUCAGAUUCUCAGUGGCCUGGCCCUUAAAUAGAAGUGAGUCUUCCCCCUCCUGCAUCUGAAGCCAUUAAUUGCGUAGAGCUACACUUCAACAUCUACAUCACACUUUCAAAGAGUUCUCUUCAGUGGAUUCCUGUUCUAGACCAUUACUUUGGAGACAGGGGUAGGGGAUUGUCACAAAAAGCCUUCCAUGUCCCUUCGUCUCAGUUGUACACCUGCAGUCAUCAAUAUCCCAGUGUAACUAGUCCCCUUGUUCUUCAUAGUUAGUGGAAACAUGGAUCAUGGGCCUCUCAAGGUUUCUGAUAACAUCC
rnacentral:lncRNA from 1 species